rnacentral:rRNA from 1 species
UACGUAGGGGGCAAGCGUUGUCCGGAAUCAUUGGGCGUAAAGCGCGUGUAGGCGGCUCAGAAAGUCUGGUGUGAAAACUUAAGGCUCAACCUUAAGCUGUCACUGGAAACUAAUGGGCUUGAGUCCGGAAGAGGAGAGUGGAAUUCCUGGUGUAGCGGUGGAAUGCGCAGAUAUCAGGAGGAACACCUAUGGCGAAGGCAGCUCUCUGGUACGUGACUGACGCUGAGACGCGAAAGCGUGGGGAGCAAACAGG